GACGAACGCUGGCGGCGUGCCUAAUACAUGCAAGUCGAGCGAAUCUUUUGGGAGCUUGCUCCCAAAAGAUUAGCGGCGGACGGGUGAGUAACACGUGGGCAACCUGCCUAUAAGACUGGGAUAACUUCGGGAAACCGGAGCUAAUACCAGAUACGUUCUUUUCUCGCAUGAGAGAAGAUGGAAAGACGGCUUCUAGCUGUCACUUAUAGAUGGGCCCGCGGCGCAUUAGCUAGUUGGUGGGGUAAUGGCUCACCAAGGCGACGAUGCGUAGCCGACCUGAGAGGGUGAUCGGCCACACUGGGACUGGGACACGGCCCAGACUCCUACGGGAGGCAGCAGUAGGGAAUCUUCCGCAAUGGACGAAAGUCUGACGGAGCAACGCCGCGUGAACGAAGAAGGCCUUCGGGUCGUAAAGUUCUGUUGUUAGGGAAGAACAAGUACCAGAGUAACUGCUGGUACCUUGACGGUACCUAACCAGAAAGCCACGGCUAACUACGUGCCAGCCGCCGCGGUAAAAC
rnacentral:rRNA from 1 species